CCUACGGGAGGCAGCAGUAGGGAAUAUUGCACAAUGGGCGAAACCCUGAUGCAGCGACGCCGCGUGAGUGAAGAAGGAAUUCGUAUUGUAAAGCUCUAUUAGCAGGGAAGAAAAUGACGGUACCUGAGUAAGAAGCACCGGCUAACUACGUGCCAGCAGCCGCGGUACUACGUAGGGGGCAAGCGUUAUCCGGAUUUACUGGGUGUAAAGGGAGCGUAGACGGCAUUGCAAGUCUGGAGUGAAAGGCGGGGGCUCAACCCCCGGACUGCUCUGGAAACUGUACGGCUGGAGUGCAGGAGAGGUAAGUGGAAUUCCUAGUGUAGCGGUGAAAUGCGUAGAUAUUAGGAGGAACACCAGUGGCGAAGGCGGCUUACUGGACUGUAACUGACGUUGAGGCUCGAAAGCGUGGGGAGCAAACAGGAUUAGAUACCCUUGUAGUC
rnacentral:rRNA from 1 species